AGAGAUGGAUAAACUCUACGACUUGUUACCUUGUUACGACUUAACCCUUGUUACCAGUUUUAUUAUAGGUCUCUUCGGAGGGUGUAUAAAGUGGCGCACGGGUGAGUAACACGUAAGUAAUCUACCCUCGGGUGGGGAAUAACAACCGGAAACGGUUGCUAAUACCGCAUAAUGCAGCGGCUCCUUAUGGAGACAGUUGUUAAAGGAUUUAUUCGCCUGAGGAGGAGCUUGCGGCAAAUUAGCUAGUUGGUAAGGUAAUGGCUUACCAAUUCUAUUUUUCUGUAGCCGGUCUAAGAGGACGGUCGGUCACACUGACACUGAAUAACGGGUCAGACUCCUACGGGAGGCAGCAGUCGGGAAUUUUGGGCAAUGGGCGAAAGCCUGACCCAGCAACGCCGCGUGAAGGAUGAAGUAUUUCGGUAUGUAAACUUCGAAAGAAUAGGAAGAAUUAAUGACGGUACUAUUUAUAAGGUCCGGCUAACUACGUGCCAGCAGCCGCGGUAAUACGUAGGGACCAAGCGUUGUUCGGAUUUACUGGGCGUAAAGGGCGCGUAGGCGGCAUGACAAGUCACUUGUGAAAUCUCUGGGCUUAACUCCAAACGGCCAAGUGAUACUGUCGCGCUAGAAUGCAGAAAAGGGCAAUCGGAAUUCUUGGGUGUAGCGGGGGGAAUGCUAGAUAUCAAGAGGAACACCUGAGGCGAAAGGCGGGUUGCUAGGGCUGGACACUGACCUUAAGGCGCGAAAGCCUGG
rnacentral:rRNA from 1 species